rfam:Firmicutes bacterium CAG:822 genomic scaffold, scf49
UUUUUGGAGAGUUUGAUCCUGGCUCAGGAUGAACGCUGGCGGCAUGCCUAAGACAUGCAAGUCGAACGAAGUGGCCCAUUGAAGAUUGCGUGCUUGCACAAGAUUGGAUUUGGAUUCCCACUUAGUGGCAGACGGGUGAGUAACACGUGGGUAACCUACCCCUUAGUCUGGGACAACUAUUGGAAACGAUAGCUAAUACCGGAUGAUUCAUUGGAGGAUAACCUCCGAUGCUAAAAGGAGCUUCGGCUUCGCUUUGGGAUGGGCUUGCGGUGUAUUAGCUUGUUGGUGAGGUAAUGGCUCACCAAGGCUACGAUGCAUAUCCGGGCUGAGAGGCUGAUCGGACACAUUGGAACUGAGAUACGGUCCAAACUCCUACGGGAGGCAGCAGUUAGGAAUAUUCGUCAAUGGGGGAAACCCUGAACGAGCAAUGCCGCGUGAGUGAUGAAGGUCUAUUAGAUUGUAAAGCUCUGUUGCGAGGGAAGAAUAGCUUUCAUAGGUAAUGAUGAAAGUGUGACGGUACCUCGUCAGAAAGCCCCGGCUAACUACGUGCCAGCAGCCGCGGUAAUACGUAGGGGGCGAGCGUUAUCCGGAUUUAUUGGGCGUAAAGCGUUCGUAGGCGGUUUGUUAAGUCUAAAAUCAAAUCUUGGGGCUUAACUCCAUUCAGUUUUAGAAACUGGCAGACUUGAGUGUGGUAGAGGCAAGUGGAAUUUCUAGUGUAGCGGUUAAAUGCGUAGAUAUUAGAAGGAACACCAGUGGCGAAGGCGGCUUGCUGGGCCAUUACUGACGCUGAGGAACGAGAGCGUGGGGAGCAAAUAGGAUUAGAUACCCUAGUAGUCCACGCCGUAAACGAUGAGUACUAAGUGUCGGGUUACCGGUGCUGAAGUUAACACAUUAAGUACUCCGCCUGAGUAGUACGGUCGCAAGGCUGAAACUUAAAGGAAUUGACGGGCACCCGCACAAGCGGUGGAGCAUGCUGUUUAAUUCGAUGCUACGCGAAGAACCUUACCUAGGCUUGACAUCCCCGGCAAAGCUAUAGAAAUAUAGUGGAGGUUAUCCGGGUGACAGGUGGUGCAUGGUUGUCGUCAGCUCGUGUCGUGAGAUGUUCGGUUAAGUCCGAUAACGAGCGCAACCCCUAUUGCUAGUUGCUAACAUUCAGUUGAGUUCUCUAGUGAUACUGCCGGUGACAAACCGGAGGAAGAUGGGGAUGAGGUCAAAUCAUCAUGCCCCUUACGUCUAGGGCCACAGGCGUGCUACAAUGGCCGGCACAAAAAGUUGCAAUACCGUGAGGUGGAGCUAAUCUCAAAAACCGGUCUCAGUUCGGAUUGGAGUCUGCAACUCGACUCCAUGAAGUUGGAAUCGCUAGUAAUCCUGGAUCAGAAUGCCAGGGUGAAUACGUUCCCGGGUGUUGUACACACCGCCCGUCACGCUAUGGGAGUUUGUAAUACCCGAAGUUGGUAGCCUAACCCUUUUGGGAGGGGGCCGGCGAAGGUAGGACAGAUNNNNNNNNNNNNNNNNNNNNNNNNNNNNNNNNNNNNNNNNNNNNAGUGAAGUCGUAACAAGGUAUCCCUACCGGAAGGUGGGGAUGGAUCACCUCCUUU